UACGUAGGUGGCAAGCGUUGUCCGGAAUUAUUGGGCGUAAAGCGCGCGUAGGUGGCUUCGUAAGUCCGUUGUGAAAGUCAAAGGCUCAACCUUUGAAAGCCGAUGGAUACUGCGGAGCUAGAGUACGGAAGAGGCGAGUGGAAUUCCUGGUGUAGCGGUGGAAUGCGCAGAUAUCAGGAGGAACACCAAUAGCGAAGGCAGCUCGCUGGGACGGUACUGACGCUGAGGCGCGAAAGCGUGGGGAGCAAACAGG
rnacentral:rRNA from 1 species